rnacentral:rRNA from 1 species
AGAAUCAACGCUGGCGGCGUGCCUAACACAUGCAAGUCGCACGAGAAAGGGUAGCAAUACCUGAGUACAGUGGCGCACGGGUGAGUAACACGUGAAUAAUCUACCUCCGAGUGGGGAAUAACUGAGAGAAAUCUUAGCUAAUACCGCAUAACACUUACGAGUCAAAGCAGCAAUGCGCUUGGAGAGGAGUUCGCGGCCGAUUAGUUAGUUGGCGGGGUAAUGGCCCACCAAGACGAUGAUCGGUAUCCGGCCUGAGAGGGCGCACGGACACACUGGAACUGAAACACGGUCCAGACUCCUACGGAGGCAGCAGUGGGGAAUUUUGCGCAAUGGGGGAAACCCUGACGCAGCAACGCCGCGUGGAGGAUGAAGCCCCUUGGGGUGUAAACUCCUUUCGAUCGGGAAGAUAAUGACGGUACCGAUAUAAGAAGCCCCGGCUAACUUCGUGCAGCAGCCGC